UACAGAGGGGGCGAGCGUUAUUCGGAAUUAUUGGGCGUAAAGGGCGCGUAGGCGGCCUGGCAAGUGACGGGUGAAAGCCCUCGGCUUAACCGAGGAACUGCCUGUCAGACUGUUAGGCUUGAGACCGGGAGAGGUGAGUGGAAUUCCCAGUGUAGCGGUGAAAUGCGUAGAGAUCAGGAAGAACACCGGUGGCGAAAGCGCUCUGCUGGACCUUAACUGACACUGAGGGACGAAAGCUAGGGGAGCGAAUGGG
rnacentral:rRNA from 1 species